rnacentral:lncRNA from 10 species
CGGAUCUCCAAGCCCCGAGCAGCGAUUAUUGUGGCUGUCACUCAGGUUUUCUGCUCAUUGGUAGACAAAGGGUGAGGAGGUGACUGAAAUUGGAACAGUGGAAGGACCCUUCACCAAAACCUGGAACUUCAGAAGAAUGGCAGGGCUGAAAAUGAUUAGUGUUAAUUCAUUCCAGUUGUGUUACCCUACCCAUAAGACUGCCUGAAGGAGCCUGAACUUCCACGUGCUGUCUUCCAUAUAAUGUGAUCUGAGGUGAAGAGCAUGGUCCCUGGAGUUGAACUGCCUGAAGUAAAUCCCAAAAUAGAAAAAUAAAAAUAAAACAGUGGUUUUAUUGUUUUUAUUUCUUGUUUCUCAUUGAUAGGUAGAUAGAGAGUUUUCUUUAAAAGCCUAGUGCUUUUGGGAUAAUAAUGGCAAGUGAUUACAUCUCUUUUGUAUUAAAUAGGUUUGGAGAAAUUUUCUUAAUUAUCUGGUACUAUUUAAACUCAAAGGCAAACACAACACUCUAUCUAAAAUACCAGUAUUACACUUUCCCUAAAUGCAGAAAACUAUUUUUACUAAAAAUUUGGCAAGCACUUUCAAAACAGCAUUUUUCUGUUUUCAUUCCUUGAGAAUUUCCUAACAAGUAUGC